ACAUGAUUGAUUGAGGUUUCGUUUGUUUUGUGUUGACACUUUGAUUUAUUUUUGAUGGCAGGGGGACCCAGGAGAGGACGGGGCGCCGGGCAAACCUGGGACAGCAGUGGAUGUACAGAAGGCUAUGGCCAGCCUCGGUAUUCAGUUGUCUGAUCUGAAGGUGGUUGUGGACAGGAAGGACACACUCGUGACUUCUUCAAUGCAGAAGGCAGAUAAAGGUGACAAGGGAGACAAGGGGGAGUCAG
rnacentral:lncRNA from 1 species